UACAGAGGGUGCAAGCGUUAAUCGGAAUUACUGGGCGUAAAGCGUGCGUAGUCGGUUAUCUAAGUCGGGUGUGAAAUCCCCGGGCUCAACCUGGGAACUGCAGUCGAGACUGUCUAGCUAGAGUAUGGGAGAGGGAAGUGGAAUUUCAGGUGUAGCGGUGAAAUGCGUAGAUAUCUGAAGGAACAUCAGUGGCGAAAGCGACUUCCUGGACCAAUACUGACGCUCAUGUGCGAAAGCGUGGGGAGCAAACAGG
rnacentral:rRNA from 1 species